AUUGAACGCUGGCGGAAUGCUUUACACAUGCAAGUCGAACGGCAGCACGGACUUCGGUCUGGUGGCGAGUGGCGAACGGGUGAGUAAUGUAUCGGAACGUGCCCAGUCGUGGGGGAUAACGUAGUGAAAAUUACGCUAAUACCGCAUACGAGCUAUGGAUGAAAGCGGGGGAUCGCAAGACCUCGCGCGAUUGGAGCGGCCGAUAGCAGAUUAGGUAGUUGGUGGGGUAAAGGCCCCCCAAGCCAACGAUCUGUAGCUGGUCUGAGAGGACGACCAGCCACACUGGAACUGAGACACGGUCCAGACUCCUACGGGAGGCAGCAGUGGGGAAUUUUGGACAAUGGGCGAAAGCCUGAUCCAGCCAUUCCGCGUGCAGGAUGAAGGCCCUCGGGUUGUAAACUGCUUUUGUACAGAACGAAAAGGUUUCUACUAAUACUAGGAGCUCAUGACGGUACUGUAAGAAUAAGCACCGGCUAACUACGUGCCAGCCGCCGCGGUAA
rnacentral:rRNA from 1 species